GAUGAACGCUGGCGGCGUGCCUAAUACAUGCAAGUCGAGCGAACAGACGAGGAGCUUGCUCCUUUGACGUUAGCAGCGGACGGGUGAGUAACACGUGGGUAACCUACCUAUAAGACUGGGAUAACUUCGGGAAACCGGAGCUAAUACCGGAUAAUAUUUCGAACCGCAUGGUUCGAUAGUGAAAGAUGGCUCUGCUAUCACUUAUAGAUGGACCUGCGCCGUAUUAGCUAGUUGGUAAGGUAACGGCUUACCAAGGCAACGAUACGUAGCCGACCUGAGAGGGUGAUCGGCCACACUGGAACUGAGACACGGUCCAGACUCCUACGGGAGGCAGCAGUAGGGAAUCUUCCGCAAAGGGCGAAAGCCUGACGGAGCAACGCCGCGUGAGUGAUGAAGGUCUUCGGAUCGUAAAACUCUGUUAUUAGGGAAGAACAAACGUGUAAGUAACUGUGCACGUCUUGACGGUACCUAAUCAGAAAGCCACGGCUAACUACGUG
rnacentral:rRNA from 1 species